CGGCGUGCCUAACACAUGCAAGUCGAAUGGGACCAGGGGCAACUCUGGUUCAGUGGCGGACGGGUGCGUAACACGUGAGAACAUGACCUUCGGCGGGGGAAGCCGGCCCAACGGCCGGGUAAUACCGCGUACGACCUUUUGGGGACAUCCUCGAGAGGUGAAAGCAGCAAUGCGCCGAUGGAGUGCCUCGCGGCCUAUCAGCUAGUUGGUGGGGUAACGGCCUACCAAGGCGACGACGGGUAGCUGGUCUGAGAGGAUGGCCAGCCACAUUGGGACUGAGACACGGCCCAGACUCCUACGGGAGGCAGCAGUGGGGAAUAUUGCGCAAUGGACGAAAGUCUGACGCAGCGACGCCGCGUGUGGGAUGACGGUCUUCGGAUUGUAAACCACUGUCGGGAGGGACGAAUACGCCGCAAGGCGGGUGACGGUACCUCCAAAGG
rnacentral:rRNA from 1 species